rnacentral:rRNA from 1 species
GUGGGGAAUCUUAGACAAUGGGGGAAACCCUGAUCUAGCCAUGCCGCGUGAUCGAUGAAGGCCUUAGGGUUGUAAAGAUCUUUCGCUGGGGAAGAUAAUGACUGUACCCAGUAAAGAAGCCCCGGCUAACUCCGUGCCAGCAGCCGCGGUAAUACGGAGGGGGCUAGCGUUAUUCGGAAUUACUGGGCGUAAAGCGCACGUAGGCGGACCAGAAAGUUGGGGGUGAAAUCCCGGGGCUCAACCUCGGAACUGCCUUCAAAACUCCUGGUCUUGAGUUCGAGAGAGGUGAGUGGAAUUCCGAGUGUAGAGGUGAAAUUCGUAGAUAUUCGGAGGAACACCAGUGGCGAAGGCGGCUCACUGGCUCGAUACUGACGCUGAGGUGCGAAAGCGUGGGGAGCAAACAGGAUUAGAAACCCCUGUAGUCC